CCUACGGGAGGCAGCAGUGGGGAAUAUUGCACAAUGGGGGAAACCCUGAUGCAGCAACGCCGCGUGAGUGAAGAAGUAUUUCGGUAUGUAAAGCUCUAUCAGCAGGGAAGAAGAUGACGGUACCUGAGUAAGAAGCCCCGGCUAACUACGUGCCAGCAGCCGCGGUAAUACGUAGGGGGCAAGCGUUAUCCGGAUUUACUGGGUGUAAAGGGAGCGUAGACGGUGGGACAAGUCUGAAGUGAAAGCCGGGGGCUCAACCCCGGGACUGCUUUGGAAACUGCAUGACUGGAGUGCAGGAGAGGCAAGUGGAAUUCCUAGUGUAGCGGUGAAAUGCGUAGAUAUUAGGAGGAACACCAGUGGCGAAGGCGGCUUGCUGGACUGUAACUGACGUUGAGGCUCGAAAGCGUGGGGAGCAAACAGGAUUAGAUACCCGGGUAGUC
rnacentral:rRNA from 1 species